CUCUUUUUAUAGCUAUCGCGAUCUUGGCUAAUUGACUAUCUAUUCGCUUAAUAUAUUCAUUCAGGGUUUCAAAUUUUUUCCUCAGCUCGUAGUGAACUAAAUCAAUCUUUUCACCCAGAUUUACACCUAUUUUCUGAUUUCCAGUAAAUGUUUGAUUUAACCUAGAUUUAAUCUUUUCCCUGUACGGGCUGUUCAUCGCAUCAUAUCUUCAGGUAAAGCCUAAGAUCACUAAACCCAGUGUGCUGAUCAUGAAGAUCCACUGCAUAUGUGGGUUUUGUUUGUCCUUCCAGAUUCGACGGGUUAUUAUCCUCUAUUUUGAAAACUCGGGAUUCGUUUUGAUCCGUCAAAAGGGAAUAAAGCGAGUCUGAGGAUUCCCUAAUUUCAGCUAUAUCAGCAUUAGCCUAAUCGCAUUUUCUGGACUCCUUGUGUUGAAAUUUCCCUCGUUGGCUGUAUCAAGCGUAGUCUGAUAACGAAGAUUAACACCUCCGUUGAAGAUGCUGAUCAGCUGCGGCUCCACGUAGCCGUACAGACUUGGACCGUGGUAAAGGGAAGGAACUGUGAGGACUCCAGCCGUGGGAAGAUGUGUGGUGAUUGGGUCAUUGUUGAUAGAUGUGAAAUAUUGAUAACCUAUUGUGCUUGUUGUGAACUUAUGAUAGCCUAGUGUGCAACUUAUGUAUUAAGAACGAAUGGAUGUUGUAUGGAUCUUGUUUAAGUAUCUAUAAAAUAACAAUUUGCUUUA